rnacentral:rRNA from 1 species
UUCGCAAUGCCCGAAAGGGUGACGAAGCGACGCCGCGUGCGGGAGGAAGGCCUUCGGGUUGUAAACCGCUGUCGGGAGUUAAGAAAUGCAAGAAUGUUAAUAGCGUUCUUGCUUGACUAAGGCUCCGGAGGAAGCCACGGCUAACUCUGUGCCAGCAGCCGCGGUAAUACAGAGGCGGCAAGCGUUGUUCGGAAUUAUUGGGCGUAAAGAGCACGUAGGCGGCUGUGUAAGUCGGUUGUGAAAGCCUUCCGCUCAACGGAAGAACGGCAUCUGAUACUACAGGGCUUGAGUACGGGAGGGGAGAGUGGAACUUCUGGUGGAGCGGUGAAAUGCGUAGAUAUCAGAAGGAACGCCGGCGGCGAAAGCGACUCUCUGGUCCGAAACUGACGCUGAGUGUGCGAAAGCUAGGGGAGCAAACGGGAUUAGAUACCCCGGUAGUCCUAGCCGUAAACGAUGGGCACUAAGUAGAGGGGUUUU